rnacentral:sRNA from 1 species
CUCUCUCUCUGCUCUGAGAAGCCACCAUCUUCUGACUUGCUUAGGACACCACCUGCCACGUGAGAGGAAGUGGUAAAAAGCAGCACCCAGGCACCUGAACCACCUUGCCGAGCUGGCCCCUCUCUCAGCACCAGCACAAGCAGGUUCUCUUGGAGCAUAAGCUAGGAGCAUCAGUCUUCUAUGACCUUAGAGAUGUCCCCUCUGACCACUAUGAAAAUGUCUCACAGCAGCCACUGGCAAUUAUGGGGAGGAAUGCCUACAAUAUAGAAGCCAGCUGCAAUCCAUAUAUAUCCAAAACUCCACGGCUUUGCAGUAGAGGCCAAGCAAGACUGUCCGGAAGCCAUCUUCAGGAAUUGUCUGAUCAUCGGGGGCCUGUACUCUACCACAGCACAGCACUUUGUAAAGGCACAUGAACCUGUGGUUCAGAACUUAACUUGCCCUGUAAGUAAUGGAGCUAAAUCAUCGAUACCCUCAGAGAAGAAAAGCAAGGCUCUGUACCACUCUCCAGAGACACAAUCACUCUAACAACUCCGUCCUUGGAACCCUGUGCUCUAGAAUGUCUUAUUCAGUGCUCAUUCCAUCAGGGCUCAGCACCUUGCUCUCACCCUCCCCUUUCCAGCCACAAACGCCAUGAGGAAUUUCUAAGGAUGCCCCUAUUCUUGCUCACCUGUCCCUGGCUUGGAAUGCCAUCCCUUUGCCUAGCCAUUUUCCCCACCAUCGGGACUCAAUUAUCUUUGGAUCCCAGUUUAUCUCAACAGCAGAGUGCUAUGGUGGGCUUUGUUCAAGCCUCCUUGGUCCAGCUGUGUGCAAUGACUCCACACCCCUAGUUAGCUGUG